GUGGUGGCUUUGGCAGCACAAAUACUAAAACUGGAAAGAUACAGAGAAGAUUAGCAUGGCCUCCUGAAUAUAUUCCUUUUCACUCUCUCUCUCUUUUU
rnacentral:snRNA from 1 species